rnacentral:rRNA from 1 species
UACGUAGGGUGCAAGCGUUAAUCGGAAUUACUGGGCGUAAAGCGUGCGCAGGCGGUCGUGUAAGACAGAUGUGAAAUCCCCGGGCUCAACCUGGGAACUGCAUUUGUGACUGCACGGCUGGAGUGCGGCAGAGGGGGAUGGAAUUCCGCGUGUAGCAGUGAAAUGCGUAGAUAUGGCGGAGGAACACCGAUGGCGAAGGCAAUCCCCUGGGCCUGCACUGACGCUCAUGCACGAAAGCGUGGGGAGCAAACAG